rnacentral:lncRNA from 1 species
GGGGCUGCGGAUGGAGCAGGCUGUGCAGGGCCUGAGGGUGUGUCCAAGUCAAACUCCAGUAGGCUGGGCACCGCUGCAGCGGUCCUGCUACUUGCUGCUGCCUGCGUUCGGCAGAAGCACCCUUCAGACUGCUGUAUAAAUCAGCGAUGUUGCCACACGAGAGUGAUAACGAAUAGUGGCAUACGUAGUUUGUCAAGCAUAAAUCUAUGAUUAAAGGCAUCCAAAUUGCCUGGACGCAGGAACAUGCGGCACAGAACUGAGGCCAGAUAAUGACUGGCGCCCGUGAGACCUGCGCAUGCGAGAAAGCUCCUGGGACAGGAUCAUGAGUGUGGACGAGUGGAACACCUGUUUCUGGGGCGUUCUGCGAUUGGCGGGCCGGGAGGGGGCGCUGUCGUCGCCAAACAGCGAGGCCGCCAGCCGCGCCUUGUCCUUGGAAAUCUCCACCGGCUCGGGGUCCUGCGCCCGCGCCGCCCUCACCGACGCCGCUCCUGCAACACCUUUUAUCCCUUGUCAGCAUCUCGGCAAUAGCACAUCAGUGGCCUCUCGAGACGAACACUCCUCGCCCAGUCAAAGCAAAUACACAGCUGAAAUCGUCUGAAUCAGGAGGCAAAUCAGAAGGCACUCCCUCCAGAGGCAUGAUGAGAAGACGUCAUCCCAGCAUAACAUAAUAAUAGCCAGGAACAACGGCCAAACAUCUUUGUUGAUGAUUCUUGAGACCUUGUGAAAGGUCUCUGAAUAACUCACCAGUAGUGGAGGUGGGGGCGGCAGUGGCGGCGACUGAGGCCGGCUGCGGCUGGGGCGCGAAUUGGGCUGGGCCCCACUUGCGUGCGCCGGAGCUGCGGAGCGCCAGCUGCGGCUCCGAGGACACAGCCGCGGCGGCUGACGAGGCCGGUGCAGCGCUGCCGCUGUCCAGCAGCAGGCCGCCAUCUUGUGGCCCUGGAAUGAUAUAUUUGUAUUUCAGGACGGAUCAUGGGACAUCACUCCUGUCUAUGCAUAUACUUUGCAGUGGACACGCAUGAUGAUAUAAUAGAGUAUGAAAAGGGAUUUCCAGAAGAUGGAUCUCUUUAAAGAAGCUCGCAGCCAAUGGCGAUCAUGACUUUGGCAGAAGAACAUAAGCAGGCCAGAUCAGCAUGAUGAAGAGCUCGAUUGCUGGAGAUGGUCGCUAGGGCGAGUAAAAAGGUGUUGGCGCACCUCGGAGAGGGCUGUGCUCUCUGCUCUGCGUGGCUGCCUGGCUGGGAGGGGCCGCCUUCUCAUAGGCCGUGAAGCGCAGAGCAUGGGU